CGGACGGGUGAGUAACGCGUGAGUAACCUGCCUUUCAGAGGGGGAUAACGUUCUGAAAAGAACGCUAAUACCGCAUGAGACUACAGAGCUGCAUGGCUCAGUGGUCAAAGGAGCAAUCCGCUGAAAGAUGGACUCGCGUCCGAUUAGAUAGUAGGCGGGGUAACGGCCCACCUAGUCGACGAUCGGUAGCCGGACUGAGAGGUUGAACGGCCACAUUGGGACUGAGACACGGCCCAGACUCCUACGGGAGGCAGCAUG
rnacentral:rRNA from 1 species